ACACUACUGACGGGUCCCAAACAGGACGAAACAGCUUUCCGGUGC
rfam:Echinostoma caproni strain Egypt genome assembly, scaffold: ECPE_scaffold0015097